rnacentral:rRNA from 1 species
AUGGUGCUUCACUUCUGCUGCAAGUGUCUGCAUUUGGUAAUGCUAGUGUUGAUCGUGUGCUCGGUUGACGGGUGUGACAAUGUUGCCUAUUGCUCAAUUCCGUCUGUGAUUGUUAAGACUGCAGUGAGCUUUGAGUCCCACAUCCCGCUGUUGUUCGUGUGCUUGUCAAGUAUGAUAAUAUUUGCUGGUAGUUAUUUCCCCUUGUGGCUUACAAAUAAGGCGACAGUUACUGUAAGACUGAGACUGAGUCUUCUUUUCAUUCAGACUAAUUGCAUUUUCACGAUACCAUCCCUGAAGUAUGUACUGCUAUUCGUGUGUGCUAUUCACCUGCGGAUGUUAAACUAA